rnacentral:lncRNA from 1 species
CUGCAGCACUGCAACACUGCAGCAUGAGCAGCACAGCAGCACUGCAGCACAGCAAUACAGCAGCAAAGCAGUAGAGCAGCACUGCAGCGCAGCAGCAUGGCAGCACCUGCAGUACUGCAAUACAGCAGCACUGCAACGCGAGUAGAACAGCAGCAGAGCAGCAUGAGCUGCACAGCUGCACAGCAACAGCAGUACUGCAGCACUGCAGUAGAGCAGCACUGCAUCACAGCAGCACGAGCAGCACUGCAGCACUGCAAUACUGCGGCACGAGUAGCACAGCAACACAGCUGCACUGCAAGCACUGCAGCACGAGCAGCGCUGCAGCACCACAACACAGCAGCGCGAGUAGCACAGCAGUAGAGCAGCACUGCAGUGCAGUAAUACAGCAGCACAGCAACACUGCAGCACAGCAGCAUGAGCACCACUCCAACACAGCAGUAGAGCAGCACAGCUGCACUGCAGCACGAGCAGCACAGCAGCACUGUAGUACAGCAGUACUGCAGCACUGCAGUAGAGCAGCACUGCAGCACUGCAAUACUGCAGCACGAGUAGCACAGCAGCACGAGCAGCAUGAGCAGCACAGCUGCACUGCAACACAGCAGUACUGCAGAACAGCAGCACGAGCAGCACAGCAGUAAGGCAGUACAAGCAGCGCAAGCAGCACGGCAAUACUGCAGCACUGCAGCAUAGCAGUACAGCAACACAGCUACACAGCAGCACCGCAACACAGCAGCACGAGUAGCACAGCAGUAGAGCAGCACUGCAGUACAGUAAUACAGCAGCACCGUAGUACAGCAGUACAGCAGCAUGAGCAGCACUGCAACACAGCAGUAGAGCAGCACAGCUGCACUGCAGCACAAACAGCACAGCAGCACUGUAGAACAGCAAUACAGCAAUACAGCAAUACAGCAAUACAGCAAUACAGCAGUAC